AAGCUUGCCCGGAUUGGUGGCCGGAGGAGGAAGUUCCGGCGAAGGGAAGCUCGGGGCAGCCCUUGCUUUCGGGCGGCACCGCUCUCUCACGGCGGCGCUAGGGCUCCUCUCACCGGUCUAGAAAUGUUGCUGGGAGGGAGACCGACCGAACGGGACCGGUCCGACGGCGAACGGAGGUCGGACGGCGGUGGGAGGACGGCCGGAAAUUUCCUGGGUGUAGAGAGAAGAAAAUCGGGUGGGAGGAGAGAGAAUCGGGAGAGAGGGAGAAGAGAAAGAAGAAAGAAAUGGGUUGGGCUCGGCCCAGCCGACCCAACACCCCUUUUUAACCCAAACUUCCAAAAUAAAAACACCCCGAAAAAUAAUACCCGAAUAAAAAUUACUUUUUACUAGCUAAAAUUUACUAUUUUUACCGUCGUCGUAUUUCCUUAAUACGAAUAAUCCUCCGAACAUAAUCGUCCCCGAAACCCCUCUAGGGACCAAUUAAACUAUUUACUCAAUAAUCGGGACGGUAAAAUUCUUAUUAUAAUCAGGCUAGUAAAUAAGGUAAAAAUAUAAGGGUCGGGAUGUGACAAGAGUAGUAGAACCUCAAGUACCAAAUCCUGCAACUCUCAACCAAUUUCAGAACCAAACAAGCAGAAGCUAUCGGCGGCGGACGUGGUCCACACAGCCUAAAACCCAGAUUUGUCAUCUAUCAUCCAAAAUGGAAUUCAAGCACAAGAACAUCAACUAAAUUAUCUUCCAAGGCUUCUAACAAUUACAAACUAGAAAUCUGAAACCCAAAACAUUACCAGCGCCGCCGUGCACAGCAGCCACGCAAUGUGGUCGACUGCCCAAAAUCCAUCUUCUUCCAAACUUAACCAAAUCUGAAUUCCAAAUAUAUAAACAGGUAGAGCUCGACGAGAAGAUCAAGUUUCAUUCCUCACUUGCCUUCGCCGGUGGCCGGAAAGCAUCAAACCGUCGCCGGAAAAUCCUAAAACUUCUUCUCUUCGAUUCUCCCUCCUCCGAGCUUCUCUUCGAAAACCAGGAACAUGGAAAGGUUCCUGAGAUCGAGAUGAAGCUAUCCAUACCAGUGAGAGGCGUCGCCGCUGCCGGAAUCGGAGAUACCCCGGCAAACACAGCCUAGCUCUCCUUCUCCACUUCGAAUCUCUCACUCUAGACUUCUUAUUUGAAAAUCAAUGGCAUGGACAUGACCACGAGAAUGAGAGGAAGCUGUCGCUACCAUUCUUUCUGCUCGUCGUCGCCGGAAAACGGAGAACCAGUCGGGUUGAUCCGCUGACUCUGUUCGGGUCGGGGAUGACCCGGUCUGGGUCUGAACUGAUUUUCUCCCUCCUUUCCCGAACCUUCCUUUUUCCUUUUAAUCUGUUGCUUAGGUCGGUUUAACCGACCCUUCUAGAACCUCCCUCUUCCUGUUUUAUAUAUAUAUCAUUUAC
rnacentral:lncRNA from 1 species